AGUGAACGCUGGCGGUAGGCCUAACACAUGCAAGUCGAACGGCAGCACAGUAAGAGCUUGCUCUUACGGGUGGCGAGUGGCGGACGGGUGAGGAAUACAUCGGAAUCUACUUUUUCGUGGGGGAUAACGUAGGGAAACUUACGCUAAUACCGCAUACGACCUACGGGUGAAAGCAGUGGAUCUUCGGACCUUGCGCGAUUGGAUGAGCCGAUGUCGGAUUAGCUAGUUGGCGGGGUAAAGGCCCACCAAGGCGGCGAUCCGUAGCUGGUCUGAGAGGAUGAUCAGCCGCACUGGAACUUGGACACGGUCCAGACUCCUACGGGAGGCAGCAGUGGGGAAUAUUGGACAAUGGGCGCAAGCCUGAUCCAGCCAUACCGCGUGGGUGAAGAAGGCCUUCGGGUUGUAAAGCCCUUUUGUUGGGAAAGAAAAGCAGCAGGUUAAUACCCCGCUGUUCUGACGGUACCCAAAGAAUAAGCACCGGCUAACUUCGUG
rnacentral:rRNA from 1 species